ACGCACGCUGGCGGCGUGCUUCACACAUGCAAGUCGAACGGAAAGGCCCUGCUUUUGUGGGGUGCUCGAGUGGCGAACGGGUGAGUAACACGUGAGUAACCUGCCCUUGACUUUGGGAUAACUUCAGGAAACUGGGGCUAAUACCGGAUAGGAGCUCCUGCUGCAUGGUGGGGGUUGGAAAGUUUCGGCGGUUGGGGAUGGACUCGCGGCUUAUCAGCUUGUUGGUGGGGUAGUGGCUUUCCAAGGCUUUGACGGGUAGCCGGCCUGAGAGGGUGACCGGCCACAUUGGGACUGAGAUACGGCCCAGACUCCUACGGGAGGCAGCAGUGGGGAAUAUUGCACAAUGGGCGGAAGCCUGAUGCAGCAACGCCGCGUGCGGGAUGACGGCCUUCGGGUUGUAAACCGCUUUCGCCUGUGACGAAGCGUGAGUGACGGUAAUGGGUAAAGAAGCACCGGCUAACUACGUG
rnacentral:rRNA from 1 species